rnacentral:lncRNA from 1 species
UGGGAGGAUGACGUGUCACUUUUUUAAGACGUGACAUCAAAGAGUUGAAUACGUGGAAUGGUGUGUCAAAUCCACGUGAGCUCAUAGCAAUAUAAACACAACCCAAUCAAAUCCUCGCACCCUCUUUUUUCCCUUUGCCUUUAAACUUCCUGAUCGAAAUCAUGUCCAAUUCCAACUCCAACCCAAAGGCAGAUCCAAAUACAUCCUACGAAUUAUCCUAACAACUAGAGCUGUCAAA